GCACCCCCAGCCCCUGCACACACAGAGACACCAACACAUGCAUCUGCUACACCAUGCUGGUUCUCUCUCUGUCCAAGUCUCUGCAUGCCCUGCCUCCUCACAUAGACUGGCUGGUUCUGAGGGCAGGACCGUCACCUCUCCCGGGACCCAUGCCUGGUAACUGAUACUGUUCCUUGGUGGAGUGGACAGACAGCACAGCAAGUAUCUCUGCCUUGACCAGCCAAGGGGUGUUUUCCAGUGGGGACAUCUUGGCUGCAGGAGCUGACAUGUAACCCAGGGGGCAAGAGGUGCUCUGCCAGCACGGACAUCCCAUGGCCUCGUGGCCACACGGCAUAUGCAAAGUCCAGGUUUCAACAGCGCUCGGCCAGCACUGACACACCCACCGUCACCUCGGACAUUGGCUCUUCAGCUGCCCGCAUCAGCACGAUCUGGAUGACUCGGCCCUCGUAGAUGUGGGCGUCGAACGUGGACUUCCACUCAGGGUACAUGGUGGGCUUCUUCUGUACCAGUGUCUUCCCGCGCUCUGCAACACAGCCAGGCAGGCAAGGUCUGGUUGGGGUCCCUCUGUCCCACCUGCCCCCACCCCCACCCCCAGACUUGCCACAGCCUUCAGCCUGGAGAGAAUCUUCCUGGCUCUUCCCCUGAGGAUAUUUCCACUCCUCAGCCUUCACAACUGUGCUCUGCUCACCUCACCAGCCUCAUGUCAUUCCUAACACACCCCAGAACACAGAACUGCCCCCGCCCCUCUAGGAAGCCCUGCUAGGUCCCACCUCCGGGUCUUUGCUCCUGCUCUUCUUUCCUCUUCCUGUGGCCCUCUUCCCUAGCCCCACUUAGCUGUCACCUCCCCUCGUGCAUUCAGUGAACACAUGCAGAGCCCUGUGUACCAAAUUCUUGGCAUUUGGAGGUGAAAAACAUGGCAGAAAGAAAAGUGAAAACCAGUGCCUAUUUCCCAAGGGCCUGGUCCAGAGCAGGACACGAGCCCAUUCAUCCCUCAAGUAAACAUUAAAUCACAGCUGUGAUGAGAUUGAAGAGGGCAAGGCCAGGGCUUUAGACCUGCUCUGGGUCAUGGUCAGGUGGCAUGCCCCAGCUUAAGGGUCAGGGAAUGAUUCCUGGAGGAAGGGACAGCUCAGAUGGGCCCUACGGGAUGAGCCAGGGGCUCAGCAAGUGGGGGCAGAAGCGAGAAGGAAUGGGGUGAGAUGUUUGCCUCCCCCAGGAGGACUUUGCUGAGCCCAGCCUGGGACAGUGCUUCCUGUGGGCUUCCCCAUCAUAGGACUCAUCGUCUGGCUCCCACACCUGACUGUGAGCCCCACAAGGGCAGGGCCAAGUCAGCCCUGGAGCAUGGCAGUGCCCAGCACAGGGGCUGGCACAGAUGGGCAUGAGGAAAUUGUUGGGUGAAACCACCAAUGGGGGGGGGGCCAGAAGCCUCCCCCCAACACCCCAACGCUCACCCUGGAAAAGGCUCUACACCCCAUGGACCUGCAUCCACAGCCGGGCUGGGCAGGGAGGUGAAGAUGAGGAAGAGAAGGAUUCCUUGGAAGCUCUAGAGGAAGAAGGCAUGGGCCCUGCAGGGCCUCCUACCGAGCCUGGGUUCUCAGUCCUACCCGUGCUAAGGGCCUCCUUCAUCUUCACGGCACAGAAGGGCUGGCUGGCAUCAUCCGCGGCCUGCAGGGAGCCGAGCUCAUAGGAGGUGAAGGCGAUACGCAGGAACGGCGCCAUGUUGAGGCCUGCAGUGCGGCUGUACAGACAGAAUGGGUGAAGCUGGACAGCAAGGGACAAGCCCAGGAAGUGCUACUCGGGUGCCCUUGGGUGGGCACUCACCUCACUAAGUUUGGCCCAUUGAUUUAGUGCUUACAGGGCACUAGCUCUAGUUGCCGUUGUUAAAACUGAGUUUCUGGAAGUCUGGAUUUGUGGCAUCCCCAGUAAAACUGGAAAAUGUGA